AGCUGCCGUUUGGAUAAGGAAACCGUGGCCCUGCGGUUUCUUGUCAUCGAGGAAUCCUCGGUCACGUCGGUCUGUAUUCUUUAACGACAAGCACUGCCACAAGAGUUAAUCCCAGGCCCGCCAACUCAUCUACUUGGCGAGUAAAGACUACAGAUACAAGGUGUAAGAAGCCCUCCUCUUAAACAAAAAUGGAAGUAAAAAUAAGUGCUCAGUUUCCUUCGAUGUCGAAUCAGUAGCUCCACUCAGCUUUGCAUUGGAAAUAAGUCACCUACUUUCAAGGGAGUCUAUUGAUCAAAAUUUUAGCGAAUUUUCUUGAUGUACUUUGUGAUCAGUAGAGCUGAUGAAAGGUCUCAAUUCAGGCUGAUGGACCAAUGGAGUGAAGAAUGUGAUCGACUAGCUGUAACAGCAUCCGACGGAUCAAUUUUACCAGUUUCCUAGACCAGAUACAAAUUUGUAACUGUGCACCACCUUCAUCUUUUGUCAUCAGUAAUUGCACAGCUUAGGUCGACUGAUUCCCGUGCGUUCAGGGGUAUCCAAACCAUCAACAACUGAGCACGUCCUGUGGCACCUCUUCGGUUCUCCUUCGAGACGGGGACGAGACUACUGGAUUUGCAGGUUAGGUUUUCUCGACGUUCAUCGCUUUCUAUUUCGCACUUCCUCCCUUUGUCAAAACAUUUAUUUUUCUAGUGGUUGCGUAUUCCAUCGCUGUCUCUUUGCUUUUCUUCAAUGAGCAGCAAUCUCUCCUACUCCUACUUAGCUUUUUAACAGGAAGAUGUAGCGCUUGUAGGAUGCAGUAAUGUUUGCUAGUAAUCGUUUAUUCUCGGGGUAUUAUGUAAACGUUCUCCUGUUGUUGUUGGCGACUGGGUUUGGGAACUUAUUUAGAAAGUUGUCUAACUUGUAUUCUUGCAUCACCAGAAGUCCUCGAGGAACGAUUCUCUUUUUGUUUUUAAAGCGAUCUAAUUUAAUCUGCUUAAUUGAACCGGUUGAACUUGGGGUUUACGUUUAUUGUGCUCACCAUUUGUGAGUUAACCAAGCCAAUUAAAAAUUGCGUGCGCUUUUAUAAAAAUGAGUGAAGAUUAUUCGAAAUCAAGUUGGUAGAACGCAGAACACGGUAGAUUUCAGAAUUAUCUUUUCAUUUGCUAACGAUCAGUUCAACGUCCGCGAAACCUGUACCCACCGUUUUCAUUUAGUAUUUUGUGUACUCUAGUAUAUCAUUACAGGAAAUCGAUUUUUUUUUAACAAAGUGUAAUCAAAUUUCUGAAUAAAAAAAACCUAUGCUUUAGCCUUUACUUAUAGUCGGAUGAUGAUCUUACGUACAACAUCUGGAUUAUCCGUAUUCCCUUAGUUGAGAAAUAGAUUCGCCCUCCAGCUUAGUUGGAUCCCUUUUGACUCGGUGACGGAAUCGGGACAGAAUCCAAACGAUGAACUCCACAAUCAAUCAACUGCAACGUAGGGCGCAUUGGCACUAUUUUUCAAAAGGAAACAUUUCCAAUGCCGAAUGUAUAGUUUGGGAUGUUAUAUGAUUGAAGUGGUUUGAUGGAUUUGGUUGGAUUUUUU